rnacentral:rRNA from 1 species
UACGGAGGGGGUUAGCGUUGUUCGGAAUGACUGGGCGUAAAGCGCGCGUAGGCGGACCUGCAAGUCGGGGGUGAAAUCCCGGGGCUCAACCCUGGAAUGGCCUUCGAGACUGCCGGUCUUGAGUUCGAGAGAGGCGGGUGGAAUUCCGAGUGUAGAGGUGAAAUUCGUAGAUAUUCGGAGGAACACCAGUGGCGAAGGCGGCCCACUGGCUCGACACUGACGCUGAGGUGCGAAAGCGUGGGGAGCAAACAGG